CCCCCUCCCCGGGGGGGUGGCCAGCGCCCGCCAGAGGACCAUCAAACUCCAGUCAGUAAACGAUGCAGUCUGAAAAACAUUUAAUAAACUAAAACUUUCAACAACGGAUCUCUUGGUUCUGGCAUCGAUGAAGAACGCAGCGAAAUGCGAUAAGUAAUGUGAAUUGCAGAAUUCAGUGAAUCAUCGAAUCUUUGAACGCACAUUGCGCCCUUUGGUAUUCCGAAGGGCAUGCCUGUUCGAGCGUCAUUACAACCCUCAAGCUCUGCUUGGUAUUGGGCACCGUCCUUUGCGGGCGCGCCUCAAAGACCUCGGCGGUGGCGUCUUGCCUCAAGCGUAGUAGAACAUACAUCUCGCUUCGGAGCGCAGGGCGUCGCCCGCCGGACGAACCUUCUGAACUUUUCUCAAGGUUGACCUCGGAUCAGGUAGGGAUACCCGCUGAACUUAAGCAUAUCAAUAAGCGGAGGA
rnacentral:rRNA from 1 species